GACGAACGCUGGCGGCGUGCUUAACACAUGCAAGUCGAACGAAGAGCGAUGGACGCUUGCUUCUAUCCCUCUUAGUGGCGCACGGGUGAGUCACGCGUAAUCAACCUGCCCUUCAGAGGGGGACAACAGUUGGAAACGACUGCUAAUACCGCAUACGCUCUAAUCUCGGCAUCGAGGAUAGAUGAAAGGUGGCCUCUACAUGUAAGCUAGCACUGAAGUUGGGGAUUGCGUCUGGUUCGCAAGUAGGAGGGGUAACGUCCCACGAAGGCGAUGAUCAGUAGCCGGUCUGAGAGGAUGAACGGCCACAUUGGGACGGAGACACGGCCCAGACUCCUACGGGAGGCAGCAGUGGGGAAUCUUCCGCAAGGGACGAAAGUCUGACGGAGCAACGCCGCGUGAGGGAUGACGGCCUUCGGGUUGUAAAGCUCGGUUAAUCGGGACGAAAGGCCUUCUUGCGAAUAGUGAGAAGGAUUGACGGUACCGGAAGAGAAAGCCACGGCUAACUACGUG
rnacentral:rRNA from 1 species